CGUCAAUAGAAGACCACACCCGUCGUCAUCAUCAUCGAUCCAUAUUUAUGUUGGAGCGAGAGCAGGGCAGAGAUAGAGAGCGCUCCGAAAAUGGCGUCAUCACUGUCAGCAGCUUCCCUCCCCUUCUCUUCUCUCCGGCCACCGGCUUGCACCAAAAUGAGGGCCACAACAAUCCUCCGAGCCACCGCGUCCUUUGCCCCGUUGGACCCCGCCGCUCCUCUCCUCCGCGCGGCCAAGUACACUGUGGACAAAUACGUUAACAGUGGGAUGGUAGUUGGGUUAGGAUCUGGUCUUGCUUCUGGCAUGGCCAUAAAGUAUCUGGGCCAGCAGCUUCGUGCUGGUGCUCUUGAAGAUAUUGUUGGGAUUGCCACGUCUGUUGCCAGUGCAAGUGAAGCAGCUAAGGCUGGAAUACCACUGGAUAACUAUCAAGAAAAUUCUCAAAUCGACUUUGCAUUUGAUGAUGCUGAUAUUAUAGAAGAAGAAACACUUAUUGCAGUCAUUGGGCAUAGUAGAUUGCAAGGUGAAGAGUCCAUUAUUCAAGAGAAGAGUAUACUAACUGCAGCCAAGAAGCUUGUAUUCAUGAUUAUGGAAAGCAAGUACAGAAGCACUCUAGAGGGUUCUGUUCCAGUUUUAGUUCAAUCUAUCAAUUGGAUGGAGACAGCUGAAGAGAUUGAUGACCUGUUCUUGGGUGAUGCAGAGGUCUGGAGGAGGCCAUCAAUAGGCCACGCUGAUCCCCUUGGAGGCGAUUACCCAUUGAUCACCAAAGAAGGGCACAAUGUUCUCGAUGUCAUAUUCACAUCUCCAAUUACAAGUCUCGCUGAAGUGGCUGAGAGCUUAGAUAAAAUCAAUGGGGUUGUAGACCAUGGAGUUAUUUCAAAGUUCCCAUGUACCGUGGUGGUUGCCUCAGAGACUGGACUUGAAGUUAUUGACAAUGUGGCAGCUAACGCAGUUGGGAAUCCUGCAACAUGAAUAUCUUCGAGUUUUGAUUCUUUAUUGGCUCACAAUGUCACGAUUCAAGGGAAGUGUGAAGACUACCUGAUAUGAAUGAGUAAAACAAAAGAAGAGAGCAGUAAAACAACCCAAAUUUUUGUACUUCGAGGAAAUUUCCAGCCAUAUUUGGUACAGUGGGUGAGUGCGGUUUUUUCAGAUCGGGGACCGGAACUGAAUAUGAUGAAAAAUCCAACCCAAGGUGAGUACGGUUUUAAGGGCCUGUUUGGUUUCAUGAUGUGAUUUUAGAAUCAUGAUUUUGAUUUUAACUCUACCCACUACACAACAAAAACACAUGUUUUCCAAGUCAAAUUUAUAAUAUCAUCUCAUUUGUCUUUUUCCACAAUCAAAAUCAAAAUCAAAAUCAAACUUAAUUUAACUUUGAAACCAAACGCCCCCUAAAUGUUUGAGUAAGCUAUCAACUUAGUCCUCGAAUGUUUGCAUCGCCAUCACUUUAGUACCUGGAAAAUUUUUGCCAUCAAAAUGACAUAACAUUCUCAAUUUCAUUAUACAAAAUGGUCCCGCCUUCAAAUCCAUUGACAGAACCAUAACGGAAAUCCUAUGUGAACGUUGACGUGGCUCACAGAACACUGAUAACCAAUAAGCUCGAGACACGUAUAUAAGAAAUUAUUUAAAAAAGAUUAAAAAACUAAGAUGACAAUUAAAAGAAACAUGGAGGGAGAGUAGAUCUCCCUUGUCGGCCUCUGGCUGCGUCCCCUCAUAGGCGCGGUUGUCGGAGCCUUCACGAGUAUUUAGCAACCCCGCGAAUUGGGGGUGGAGGCCGGAUGGGAGCCCCAUGAUCUUCUCCUCCAAGCUGCCUCUCUUGCACAAUAAAUUGGGGGAUCCAUGGAAUUUGUGCAAACCGGGCAUUCGAACAAUUUGUGCCCCUUGAUCUUCUUAUUCUUGGGUCUUAUAGGGUAUUAUAGGCUAUUUGUUAGAGGGUUUAGUAAUAUCAGCAAACCUGUUAGUGAUCUCCUUAAUAAAGAUUCUUUUCAGUGGGGAGUAGAGGCUCAAGCAGCUUUUGAGACACUUUAAGAAGGCCAUGGUUUCCACCCCAGUAUUGACACUUCUUGAUUUUUCUAAGAAAUUCAUGGUGAAAACUAAUGCAUCAAGGGCAGGGAUUGGGACUGUCUUAACUCAAAUUGGGCACCCAUUGCGUAUAUCAGUAAGAUCCUGGCACCAGAACAUCAAGCUCUAUUAGUUUACGAAAGGGGACUUUCAGCCAUCAUUUACGCUAUUAAGAAAUGGCAUCACUACCUCAGCGGUGAACAUUUUUUUAUCAAGACAGACCAUAAGAGCUUGAAGUACUUAUUGGAGCAAAGACUCAAUACUCCUUUUCAGCACACAUGGCUUGCAAAGUUGUUAGGCUAUGAUUAUGAUAUUUGCUACAAGAAGGGCUAGGAAAACAAAAUGGCUAAUGCACUUUCAAGGAUACCUUGUUAUAAGUCAACUUUGAUAGCCUUAUCAGCAGUUUCGUGGGAUGUAUACAACAAGAUACAAUAAAGUUGGGAGACUGACCUUCAUCUACAAAAGAUCAUUGUUGAAUUGCAGGAAGAUCCAAUAUCUCAUCCUAAGUUUUCAUGGGAAAGAGGGGGCAACUAAGAAGGAAAUGAAGACUUGUGUUGGGCAACAACCAAGAAUUGCAAAAGGAAAUUCUAACAAUGCAUCACUCGGGCUCUAUGGGAGGACAUUUAGGGACUUAAGCUAUUGCAAAGAGGAUCUCUAGCUAGCUGUAUUGGAAGGGGUUGUGGAGACAAGUUCGAGAGUUUGUCAGAGAAUAUUUAGUUUGUCAACAAAAUAAAGCCGAGCAUAGGGCUUAUCCUAGUUUUUUACAGCCACUACCCAUGCCAAGAUCCAUUUUCACAGAUAUUACGAUGGACUUUAUUGAAGGACUGCCUAAGUCUCAAGGGAAAAAUGUCAUAUUUGUGGUGAUCGACAGAUGUUCUAAGUAUGCACAUUUCAUGGCCUUAUCUCAUCCCUACACACUGCAUCAAUCGCUCAAGCAUUUGUGGAUGGCGUGUUCAAACUUCGUGGCUUGCCAGAAACAAUUAUACGCGAUCGAGACCCAGUUUUCUUGAGCGCUUUUUGGCAAGACAUGUUCAAGCUUUAGGGUGUAGGGCCGAUAACUUCUUCUGCCUACCAUCCACAAACGGAUGGACAGUUAGAGAUGUUUAGAGACUUAUCUACGUUGUAUGAUGAUCGACAAGCCUUGCACCUGGGCUAAGUGGCUACCCAUGGCUGAGUGGUGGUACAACACCAUAUACCACACGACCAUCAAAUUGAUACCUUUUGAGGCCUUAUAUAGGUUUCCUCCUCUUUUGCAUAUGCCUUACUUCCCUCGAGAUUCUAGUGUUGCAUCGGUGGAUUCAUACUUGAAGGACAUGGAGUUAAUGAUUCAUCUCCUUAAGCAUCAUCUGCAUAUGGCACAAAACAUUAUGAAAUUCCAGGCUGAUGAGAAGAGAUCGGAGACAAGUUUCUCUAUAGGGGAUUGGUUGUACCUGAAACUGCAACGUUAUAAGCAGGAGUCAAUGGGUAAUCGAAGCUGUCAGAAGUUCUCCCCUCGAUAUUAUGGUCCAUUCAAGAUAUUGGACAAGAUAGGGGAAGUGGCAUAUAAGCUGGAGUUGCCUUCCUCAGCUGAAAUUCAUCACACUUUUCAUGUGUCACAGUUGAAGAAGGCAGUAGCGUCUGCAACUACUAUGUAGGUGCUUCCAUUGCCUCAAGAACUUAUUACUAUUGAGAGCAAGCAACCAUUAGCAAUUUUGGAAAGGAUGAGAGGAGGAUGAUGAAGCAAGGAAAUAAGGCAGCAAUUCAACUCCUCAUUCAUUAGUCUCAGUCAUCACUAGUUGAAGCCACUUGGGAAUUUGCAAAUGAUAUCAGGAUGCGAUUCUCUCACUUCAACCUUAAGGACAAGGUAUCUUAAGGGGGAGGUAAUGUAAUGAACUGGAAGUUUGAGAAAAGGGAAAAGCUAUAAUAAAGCUAAUUUGAAUGGUGCGGAUGUAAUAAUCGAUAGUCGAGGGAUCUUUCUGCUAGUAUAGCUGAUCCACUCUUGGGAUCAGUGCAUUCGAUUAGAAAGACAGAGAGGGAGAGAGUGAGCUAUUUAACCAGAGACAAUCAUCACUUUCAAUAUCCAUUCUGUGAAGGUGAUCAUUGUUGUUGAGUUGAAAUCAUCCAUCAUCAUCUUUGAAGGCAUUCUCUCUC